rnacentral:rRNA from 1 species
CCUACGGGUGGCAGCAGUGGGGAAUAUUGGGCAAUGGGCGCAAGCCUGACCCAGCAACGCCGCGUGAAGGAAGAAGGCUUUCGGGUUGUAAACUUCUUUUGACAGGGAAGAGCAGAAGACGGUACCUGUCGAAUAAGCCACGGCUAACUACGUGCCAGCAGCCGCGGUAAUACGUAGGUGGCAAGCGUUGUCCGGAUUUACUGGGGGUAAAGGGCGGGUAGCCGGGCUGACAAGUCAGAUGUGAAAUCCGGGGGCUCAACCCCCGAACUGCAUUUGAAACUUGUGGUCUUGAGUAUCGGAGAGGCAGGCGGAAUUCCUAGUGUAGCGGUGAAAUGCGUAGAUAUUAGGAGGA